GCAGCCCAGAGCCUGAAUCAGUAUGUGUGUUAGUGGAAGCGUCUGGAAAGGCGCGCGAUACAGGGUGACAGCCCCGUACACAAAAAUGCACAUGCUGUGAGCUCGAUGAGUAGGGCGGGACACGUGGUAUCCUGUCUGAAUAUGGGGGGACCAUCCUCCAAGGCUAAAUACUCCUGACUGACCGAUAGUGAACCAGUACCGUGAGGGAAAGGCGAAAAGAACCCCGGCGAGGGGAGUGAAAAAGAACCUGAAACCGUGUACGUACAAGCAGUGGGAGCACGCUUAGGCGUGUGACUGCGUACCUUUUGUAUAAUGGGUCAGCGACUUAUAUUCUGUAGCAAGGUUAACCGAAUAGGGGAGCCGAAGGGAAACCGAGUCUUAACUGGGCGUUAAGUUGCAGGGUAUAGACCCGAAACCCGGUGAUCUAGCCAUGGGCAGGUUGAAGGUUGGGUAACACUAACUGGAGGACCGAACCGACUAAUGUUGAAAAAUUAGCGGAUGACUUGUGGCUGGGGGUGAAAGGCCAAUCAAACCGGGAGAUAGCUGGUUCUCCCCGAAAGCUAUUUAGGUAGCGCCUCGUGAAUUCAUCUCCGGGGGUAGAGCACUGUUUCGGCAAGGGGGUCAUCCCGACUUACCAACCCGAUGCAAACUGCGAAUACCGGAGAAUGUUAUCACGGGAGACACACGGCGGGUGCUAACGUCCGUCGUGAAGAGGGAAACAACCCAGACCGCCAGCUAAGGUCCCAAAGUCAUGGUUAAGUGGGAAACGAUGUGGGAAGGCCCAGACAGCCAGGAUGUUGGCUUAGAAGCAGCCAUCAUUUAAAGAAAGCGUAAUAGCUCACUGGUCGAGUCGGCCUGCGCGGAAGAUGUAACGGGGCUAAACCAUG
rnacentral:rRNA from 1 species